GGAAAGCUUCUUUUUUGAAAAUAAGGCACAUGUCAUCAAAUAAAGAACUGUUUUCAUCCAAAAUAUUCAUUUCAUUCAUACAAUACCAUUUACAAAGAGUUUAUACAAAAAUUACAACAACAAAAAUUGAUUUUGACCAACAGUUGACUUUGGUUAACUGUUGACUUUUUGGUCAACCAGUUGACCAAAGUCAACUAAUCUAAUCCUUAGUCCUAAUUGUUGAUUUUUCACUUUGAUUCUUCAUUUUUCAUCUUCUCUUUUAACUUCAUGGCCAAGAUUACUUUGUUUGCAAGUAAGUCGUCAUCAUGGUUCAUGGUACCUUCAUUCCAAGUAUCUUGAAGCAUGAUCCAAACUCCAAGUAUAAAGUCAGCCUUGAACAUCAUCCUGCAAAACCAUCCCAAGUAAUGCAUCAUCAUUAACAAUACAACAAGUCAUUCCAUACAUAUUAUUACAACCAUAAAUAACCUAACAGCUAGCAUCCAAUUGACAAUAAACAUAUAGCAAUUCAUCUAAUUCUAACAUGGCUUGCAUUUCACAUUCAUAACUAGCUUAGCAUUCAUAAUUGCCCAAACUGCACCACAAACAUGUUAAUAGUAAUUUCAUUUCAAAACCCCCAUCCAAUGCAUGUUCAUAUCAAUUUAACAUUUCACUCAUAUCCACUCAAACAUUACAACAUACAUAAACAUUAGCAUGAAUCAUACAUCAUAUUCUCUAGCAAUUUGAUGACACGUUCCAUGUAUAAUUCAUGUCAUUUCAUUCCAUACAUUCAUAAACCACACUUCAGCCUUAACCUAACCCUAAGCAUCAUAACACAAUUUAGAAUCACACAAGACAAUUAGCAUUUAGAGCCAUCCAUAUCAUAGUCCAAACCAAGGCAAUGCAUUCAUGAUGAUCAUGUCAAUUCAAAUAGAUUCAUGCUUCACUAACAUAACUUCUAUUCAUUACAAACUAACAUCCAAACUCAAGCAUCAUAACAUGCGGCAUUAUACCAAGUUAGAACUAAUAUAAUUUUAACAUUAACCGUCUAACCUCUUUUAAAAUUCAUAAUCUGUUUUGAACUUCAUUCUAAUAACAGUUAACCAAUUAUAAUCUAAUUGGACAAAGCUUAAUAGCAAGCCAACUUACCCCUAACUUCAAUCAACUUCAUCCAAGUUCUAAACCAAUUAUAAUUAACCAAGCUAACAGGACCCUUAGUUAAUUUCACAUCUAAGCUCGAACUAAUUUCAUGACAUUGAAUUCACCAACUAACUAAUCCAGCUCAAUAUAAUUAACUUCCUCACAAACCAUAACAAAAAAUCAUAAUAGAGACUAACUUCUAACAGAAACUGAACCUUAACUAACUCUCCAAAAUCCCUAGAAUUAACAGAGUUAUAACUCUCAAUUGCUAUUCACCUGAUUGAGAUUAAUAGAGUUAAGCUAUGUUAAUCUUCAAUCCCUAUAAAAUCCAUCAUCACACUGAAAAUCAGUCCCUUCGAAUGACCAAUUCAUUCACUCACAAUAUCAUAAUCCUUUCUCUCCAAUCAUUGCUUCACUCUCAUCAAUUCAUAGAACCUCUCACUCUCUUAUCAAUUCAUAAAACCUCUCAAUCUUUCAAACUCCCAUGCUCUCAAUCACUCACUCACCCAUAAUAACAACUCUUAGAAGCAAGAAGAGAAGAGAAGAAGCAGAACAUCGUGAAAGGAAGAAAGAGAGAAGAAUUGGACAGUACCUCUCAUUUCUUCUUUGCCGUCGUCUUCAUCUCCAUAUUCUUCGGCAGGUAGGUCAAGUAUCCUUCAUCAUUUCGCUUUGAAUCAGAUACCAUGAUGUAGCUUAGGGCUUGAGGAACCAAAGCCCCAACCAAUUGGACUUUGAUUCCCCAUUGGGAGAUUUUAAUUUAUGAAUUCAUAAUUAGGGUUCUUGAGGUAUUUGGCUUGGUUAGGGUGAUUUCUUUAGGAUUAUGAAGAAUGGAUGAAUGAUUUGUGUAGAGGAGAGUGAGAUGCGUUCAAUGAUGUAUGAGUUAUCAUGUUUGGCCCUCAGCCGCCGCCGGAGGCGAUUUCCGGUGCAGCAGAGUUUGGUUUUCUUGGGUCAUAUGUGAAUAAGUGAGAUGUUUGAUUAUGAGCGUGUUUUUUAGUUUGACCUGAACUCUCUUCCCCCAUAUUUCAUGUGAGUCUUCG
rnacentral:lncRNA from 1 species